rnacentral:lncRNA from 1 species
AACCAUGCUGUAAACAGAUGUACUUUAAUCCAUGUUUUAUUGUUCCAUUUAUAGUGUCCACACAGAGGUUGAAUUAACAUAAUUCAUAAGGGACAUAGGAUUUUUGUAAAUUAGGCAAAUAAGCAUUCAAUUUAAAGUCACCAGCAUGUGAACACUUAUAGGCUAUUGUAUGAUCAUUAAUUGGACUAAUUUCAAUAUUGUUUUGUCUUAGGGAAUAGGGAGGCCCUAGGAGAGGGAGAAAGAC